rnacentral:rRNA from 1 species
UGCCAGCCGCCGCGGUAAUACGGAGGGUGCGAGCGUUAAUCGGAAUCACUGGGCGUAAAGCGUACGUAGGUGGCAAAGUCAGUCAGGCGUGAAAGCCCUCGGCUUAACCGAGGAGGGUGAUUUGAAACUGGUAGACUUGAGUACGGCAGAGGUUAGUGGAAUUCAAUGUGUAGCGGUGGAAUGCGUAGAUAUAUUGAGGAACACCAGUGGCGAAGGCGGCUAACUGGCUCGAUACUGACGCUGAGGUGCGAAAGUGUGGGGAGCAAACCGGAUUAGAUA